AGUGAACGCUGGCGGUAGGCCUAACACAUGCAAGUCGAACGGCAGCACAGUAAGAGCUUGCUCUUACGGGUGGCGAGUGGCGGACGGGUGAGGAAUACAUCGGAAUCUACUUUUUCGUGGGGGAUAACGUAGGGAAACUUACGCUAAUACCGCAUACGACCUACGGGUGAAAGCAGGGGUUCUUCGGACCUUGCGCGAUUGAAUGAGCCGAUUUCGGAUUAGCUAGUUGGCGGGGUAAGGGCCCACCAAGGCGACGAUCCGUAGCUGGUCUGAGAGGAUGAUCAGCCACACUGGAACUGAGACACGGUCCAGACUCCUACGGGAGGCAGCAGUGGGGAAUAUUGGACAAAGGGCGCAAGCCUGAUCCAGCCAUACCGCGUGGGUGAAGAAGGCCUUCGGGUUGUAAAGCCCUUUUGUUGGGAAAGAAAAGCAGCAGGUUAAUACCCCGCUGUUCUGACGGUACCCAAAGAAUAAGCACCGGCUAACUUCGUG
rnacentral:rRNA from 1 species